GGAAGGCAGACCCAGGGAACUGAAACAUCUAAGUACCUGGAGGAAGAGAAAGAAAAAUCGAUUUCCUGAGUAGCGGCGAGCGAAACGGAAAGAGCCCAAACCAAGAAGCUUGCUUCUUGGGGUUGUAGGACACUCUAUACGGAGUUACAAAAGAAAGUUAUAAAUGAAGCGGUCUGGAAAGGCCCGCCAAAGACGGUAACAGCCCGGUAGUUGAAAUGGCUUUCCCUCCAGAGUGGAUCCUGAGUACGGCGGAACACGUGAAAUUCCGUCGGAAUCCGGGAGGACCAUCUCCCAAGGCUAAAUACUCCCUAGUGACCGAUAGUGAACCAGUACCGUGAGGGAAAGGUGAAAAGCACCCCGGAAGGGGAGUGAAACAGUUCCUGAAACCGUGUGCCUACAAGUAGUUAGAGCCCGUUAAUGGGUGAUAGCGUGCCUUUUGUAGAAUGAACCGGCGAGUUACGAUUUGUUGCAAGGUUAAGCGGAAAAAGCGGAGCCGUAGCGAAAGCGAGUCUGAAUAGGGCGCAUAAGUAACAGGUCGUAGACCCGAAACCAGGUGAUCUACCCAUGUCCAGGAUGAAGGUAAGGUAAUACUUACUGGAGGUCCGAACCCACGCACGUUGAAAAGUGCGGGGAUGAGGUGUGGGUAGCGGAGAAAUUCCAAUCGAACUUGGAGAUAGCUGGUUCUCUCCGAAAUAGCUUUAGGGCUAGCCUCGAGGUAAAGAGUCAUGGAGGUAGAGCACUGUUUGGACUAGGGGCCCUUCUCGGGUUACCGAAUUCAGAUAAACUCCGAAUGCCAUGUACUUAUACUCGGGAGUCAGACUGCGAGUGAUAAGAUCCGUAGUCGAAAGGGAAACAGCCCAGACCACCAGUUAAGGUCCCCAAAUAUAUGUUAAGUGGAAAAGGAUGUGGGGUUGCUUAGACAACCAGGAUGUUGGCUUAGAAGCAGCCACCAUUGAAAGAGUGCGUAAUAGCUCACUGGUCGAGUGACCCCGCGCCGAAAAUGUACCGGGGCUAAACAUAUUAC
rnacentral:rRNA from 1 species